rnacentral:sRNA from 1 species
UUCUUCUUUUCGACCGUAAACCUGUGUCCAGAAAACCCGUUGCCCUCGUCGAGGUGUCGUUCGGUCGACUUCUGGACAGCCCGACCGACUUAUGGAGCCAUCUUCUUUACGCAAGAAUUACAUGAUGUCAAUCUUCCGGUCGACAGGUUUAAGAGAGAUCGGCACCUCGAAAGCCUGAGCUCCCGCAUGGUGAGCUCGGCGGAAAAGGUGGCCAAAGGCGUCAUAUUCCACUUCUCUUUGCCGAUGGCCGUCGGCCUGUGAGGUUGGGGAUAAACCAUGACAUGCCUACAUAC